GACGAACGCUGGCGGCGUGCUUAACACAUGCAAGUCGAACGGAAAGGCCCUGCUUUUGUGGGGUGCUCGAGUGGCGAACGGGUGAGUAACACGUAAGUAACCUUCCCUUGCCUUUGGGCUACCUUCAGGAAACUGGGAUUAAUACCGGAUAGGAGUUCCUGCUGCAUGGGGGGGGUUGGAAUGUUUCGGCGGUUGGGGAUGGACUCGCGGCUUAUCAGCUUGUUGGUGGGGUAGUGGCUUACCAAGGCUUUGACGGGUAGCCGGCCUGAGAGGGUGACCGGCCACAUUGGGACUGAGAUACGGCCCAGACUCCUACGGGAGGCAGCAGUGGGGAAUAUUGCACAAUGGGCGGAAGCCUGAUGCAGCAACGCCGCGUGCGGGAUGACGGCCUUCGGGUUGUAAACCGCUUUCGCCUGUGACGAAGCGUGAGUGACGGUAAUGGGUAAAGAAGCACCGGCUAACUACGUG
rnacentral:rRNA from 1 species